GAGGAACUACUGUCUUCACGCAGAAAGCGUCUAGCCAUGGCGUUAGUAUGAGUGUCGUGCAGCCUCCAGGAUCCCCCCUCCCGGGAGAGCCAUAGUGGUCUGCGGAACCGGUGAGUACACCGGAAUUGCCAGGACGACCGGGUCCUUUCUUGGAUCAACCCGCUCAAUGCCUGGAGAUUUGGGCGUGCCCCCGCGAGACUGCUAGCCGAGUAGUGUUGGGUCGCGAAAGGCCUUGUGGUACUGCCUGAUAGGGUGCUUGCGAGUGCCCCGGGAGGU
rnacentral:other from 1 species